UUUAUGGAGAGUUUGAUCCUGGCUCAGGAUGAACGCUGGCGGCGUGCCUAAUACAUGCAAGUCGAGCGAACGGACGAGAAGCUUGCUUCUCUGAUGUUAGCGGCGGACGGGUGAGUAACACGUGGAUAACCUACCUAUAAGACUGGGAUAACUUCGGGAAACCGGAGCUAAUACCGGAUAAUAUUUUGAACCGCAUGGUUCAAAAGUGAAAGACGGUCUUGCUGUCACUUAUAGAUGGAUCCGCGCUGCAUUAGCUAGUUGGUAAGGUAACGGCUUACCAAGGCAACGAUGCAUAGCCGACCUGAGAGGGUGAUCGGCCACACUGGAACUGAGACACGGUCCAGACUCCUACGGGAGGCAGCAGUAGGGAAUCUUCCGCAAUGGGCGAAAGCCUGACGGAGCAACGCCGCGUGAGUGAUGAAGGUCUUCGGAUCGUAAAACUCUGUUAUUAGGGAAGAACAUAUGUGUAAGUAACUGUGCACAUCUUGAC
rnacentral:rRNA from 1 species